rnacentral:rRNA from 1 species
GACGAACGCUGGCGGCGUGCCUAAUACAUGCAAGUAGAACGCAGUUGCGAACGUGUGGGUAACGCGUAGGUAACUACCUAUUAGAGGGGGAUAACUAUUGUAAACGAUAGCUAAUACCGCAUACUGGUAGAUGGACCUGGGUUGUAUUAGGUAGUAGGUAGGGUAAUGGGCUACCUAGGCAACGAUACAUAGCCGAGCGGAGAGGGAGAUCGGCCACCACGGGACGGAGGAACGGCGCAGAACCCUACCGGAGGCAGCAGGAGGGAAUCUUCGGAAAUGGGGGGAACGCUGACCGAAGAACGCCGGGUGAGUGAAGAAGGUUUUCGGGUCGUAAAGGUCUGUUGUGAAGGAAGCGGUACUUAAACAGAAAGGGACGGCUAACUACGUGCCAGCAGCCGCGGUAAUAC